rnacentral:lncRNA from 1 species
AUGGAACAAAAGACUCAGCCAAGGAAGUCUCCACUACAAAUUGUCCUUGUCAAGCUAAAUCAUCAGUAUUUCUUUCGACCUCAUCUCAAAAUUAGCAUAUUUUUUCUCAUUUUAUCAUUAUCCUUUUGCAGGUACCGAGGAGAGAUGAGAGAAGUUGGUGAACACAUUGACAAUGCAGCAACUGUCGUCUGGGAUAAUGUAAUGAAGCCAAGCUACCAAGUUUGUCUACAAAAAGGGCUUGAGCAGGCGGCCAACUCUACAAUUUCCAGCAUAGCAGGGACAGAGCCCAACGGGAAGUUGAAAAAUUCUUGACUGCUACACGAUACUCACUCAACCUGUGUUGUUAUUACCUCCAAUUUCUCAUCGUAUGAAACAUUUUUGUAUCUUCCCCUUUUUCGUGCCCUUUUCACAUGCCUCUGUGACCAACCUUUGUGUACAAAGUUCAACUCGAAUCUGUCAGACAUGCACAAUCUUCCAAAAACUUUGCUGUCCAUUUUUACAUUUUGAAUCAAGCGUACUUUUUCAUUUUUUCCCCUUUUUUUUAAUUCGGCAUUUUUCUAGUUAUAAUUCACUUUUACUGUUGUAUUGUAGGGGUGGUUUGUAUUUUAAAAUACUUAUUUUAAAAAUCUAACUUAAUUUUUUCAUUUUAUUUUGAAGAUCAAGUCUCGUGGUUCAGAGAUAACUUAUCUCUGGUAAAGACCGUUCUUUGUAAGCAUGAUCACUUUCAGUCAUCAUAGAAUGCUGCAGAGUUUAACGCACCUGCUCCUUAUUAGUGUUCAAAAGUCGCAAUUACCUACUCCAGUAAAAAAAUUUGAAAUGCUCGGUUUUUAUCUUUUAUGUUCCAUAGCUCUCUUCUUUUCUGUAGACUUUUAUAAACCAAAAUUUUUAUAAUUUUUCAAGUUUUUAAAAUUUUAGUUGCAUUUUCUAUGUAAAGUGUGAGAGGUUGAUUUUUAAGUCAAAACAUUUAUAAGAAGUGACUUUAAGUUUGUAAUUGAACUCCAGGAGUCAGUCUUUUGUCUAUUUUAAAAUUAAUUUUCAGGAAUCAAGUCUCUAAUUCAUUUGUAAAAUUUCUCUAGAAAAUUAGAUAUCAUCAUCAAAACUUGAAUAGUUUUGUGAUUUUGUAAGUAAUUUCAGGGUUGCCACAGUCAAGGAAAAUUUGGAAAACUCGGAAAUAAAGUAAUUAUGUACAACCACACAAGACACACCAUGUAAACUACAUUAAAAAGCUCUCACUUGCGCGUAAAUUGUCAUUCUGCUAAACGGCUCCACAUUCUGACAUCCUCAGUACCACUCAGGGAAUGCCAGAGAAUUUAAAUAGUCAGAAAAAAUGAGAAAUUGUCAAGGUUUCAUUUCCUGAAUUCUGUGGCAACCCUGUACUAUACUUUCAUGCAAGCUCCUCAGCCAUUGAUUAGUCUAAGUGAACUUGUAAUGAUGUCCAAAUUUCGGUUAUCCUUAAAAUGUUGAGUCUCAUUUAAGAUUCAACACGGCUAGCUUUUGCCCAUUUAAAAUUAUGCCAGGAGAAAUCAGCAUCCAUAAUCAUUGUUCUCAUUUUUUGUUCAAAAAGUCACCGUUCUAUCAUUGCUCUGUCGCUCAUGCAUGACGUUAAGUAAUUUCUGAUAUGAUGAGAACUUCAAUUUUUAAUCUGCCGUAAAAGGUUUCUUCAUUAGUUUGCUGAAUCCAAUUAACUUAUUUGAUUCAAAGUACUGGUGUUCGAAUUCAGGCAAUCUUGUUCCCCAAAGUUUGUGUCUUGACAUAAAGCAGUUUAAAUUGUUCAACUGUGGUAUCUAGCUGUAAGUUAGUUGUCAUGUCUCUCUUUAUCAGUAAUUUUUUUUUCAAUGUACAUUUGUAUUUUCCAUUGUCUUGAAGUUGCAAGUUUUUUUCCCUCUUGUUUAAUCCAAAACCAUUUUGCAAUGGAUGUUCUUCUUCAUUUUUAUCUCAAAAAAGAUUUGGUAAACUUGUUUUAGAAAAAGUGAUUGGAAUCAGUCUUUAUCAAACCCAAGGUUUUUUGCAAGGAGCAGUUGACUGAAAAUUGUCAAGGAACAGGAGAGAUACCUAAUUACUUGAAUUUUUAAGACUGUGCAUGGCUGAUAGUAAUUAAAUUUUAGUUUUUUUCCUUCUUUUACAUUUUCAGUUAUUUAUACUUGAAAAAACAGGUUUUUCUGGUCUAAGACCAUUGAACUUUCCGUCAGUCUCCCAAACCUGCGAUUAAAAUAUGAUACCUCUGUAACCCUGCCAAAAUUUUAUUUUUAUUACAUAAUGCUUAACUAAAUUACAGUGUACCUUUUUAAGUAACAAGGUUUUUCUAUUUCAAUAAGGAAAUCCAAAAAUACGUGAGUGAUCCCUUAAGAAGCUUAAUAUUGUACAUAGGUAGGUCUCUAAAUAAAUUAUGCCAUACCAUACUCUUAAGAUAGUUUCUCGGAGUUGUAUACAGAACGUUAAAAAAAUUUUAAAAUCCAAAAAAAUGUUUAUCAUGUUUUCAGUAUUUAUCCAUCUGGCAUUUAUCAGAUUGAAAGCCUUCCUGCUGGUUGACCACUCGUCCCCAAAAAAUAAGGGCUUAGAAUAAAUUGAGUGUAGUGGAAAAAGUUGGGCCAAUGGAGCCCUUGCACCCCAUAAAGAUUUCCGAUUAAAGUACUUACUUUUUCUCUCAUAAAAUUGGAGAGAUUGCAAACUGCAACUGAUGGUAGUGUUGGGAUCCCCUCUAUAAUGGCCUCAACUUCAAGAGCUCUACAUAAGCUUCGAAGUCUUUCUCAGAGAAAACUAGAAGCACCAUCAUGUUUCUUGCAAAAUUGCACAUUAGAUUUAGCGUUGAAAUCGCAAAUCCCUGUGGCAUGCAAAGCUCCAUUACUGGAAGCAAUACAAAUCUGUUCCUCAUUAUAAGCACCAUUUUCUUACUACUUUAUUUUACUAAUCAAUCUUUGUUGUUUUAGCAGGAUGGCACUCCCUUUGAGAUUUGCCUGGAUAAAUCUGAACAUGAUCAUUAAACGUUUUCUUGCAUUUUUGUUUUUGUUUAAUUAUGUGUUGCAUAGUGUAAAAUAAUAUAAUUACGGUGAUUAACCCAAAUCAAACUAGAGUUAGACCUCAGGAGUCCUUUCGAAUGCAUGGCGUUGAAAUUAUUCUCUCUGAUUUUUCAGAUGAGGUCACCGGGAAACUAUUUUCACAGCAAUGAAAAUCGUUUAAUUUUUAUUAUUGUUAAUUUUCCUCUUUUUGUGUCUCCCGUCAGUGGUGUAUGUUAACUUUGAUGUCUUUGAAAUCUCAUUAAUAAAGAUUUAUUUUUUAAAAGUUAAUCUGUAACAUUUAUUAUGAUUAAAUGGGUCCUUGCAGAAAUUGAGUAGGAGGUCAUGGUUUCAUGCCGCAGGCUGAUUAUUGGAAUUGAUAGACAAAGGUAUUGACAAGAGACUGGAAAAUUAAGCGAUCCUAUUAGUUGGAACGGGUCAUUAUUACAGACUGAGGAGAGGGAGGGAAAUGAUAGACUAACUACUGGGUCCCUCAGGUCUCGCCAUUAGUAAGUCUAAUACUCAGCUCCUUUGUUAAUUGCAACCACCCGAUUCCACCAAUAGGAUCACUCAAGUCGUAGGUUUCAUGACUUUGAAGAGAAAGUAGUAAGGUUUUAGUUGUUUCGCUACAUAGUUUUUAAUUUUAUAAUAAUUAGGUCUUUAUUUUUGCUGUAGUCAUUCCAUAUCGAUUAUAUGUGGGUUGUCACCCCACCCCACUCUAAAAAUUUGAAUGAAAAUUAUUGUUUACUUGGUUAUGAACUCUUACUAAUAGGUAGGUAUUCAAGUCCCGAGACCCAUUC